UUAUAUUUUGCAAUAAGAAUAUUUAUGAUUUAAUUGGUUUUAUUAUAAUUCCAAUUAUUAAAGAAAGAUGAGUAAGAAUAUUGUUGGUGUUCUUAACUCAAGAGAAAUGUUUUCAAUUAUUUAUUCAUUAAAUUUUGAAAACCCGGCUAAGUGAAUCAUAGAAUAUUAAGCACUACACCAUGACUUAAGAUUAGAAUUCAAGGAGACCUAUUGAGAAUAGAUUUCUUGUAGGCUUUGAGCAUCAGGAGGAUUAGCACUGCUAUUCCGAUUCAGAAAUAAAGUUAAACGACAGGCUUUGCCUAGACAGGUUAAUGGCUGGUGAUGACGGGGCAGAGCUGAGGCUAGGGUUCAACUCCGUAUUUUGUCUUCCGCUAUUGCACUAGCUUUUAUUUGUCUGUUAUUUCUCCAACUUAAGACUUUUAUGUUAAAUUCUGAAUUAUGUUUUUAUCGAGCUUAAACUCUCAACUUCUAGCUCUAUGUUAUUUAACGUUGGUUAUCGGAAGCAUGA